CCUACGGGAGGCAGCAGUGAGGAAUAUUGGUCAAUGGGCGAAAGCCUGACCGAGCAACGCCGCGUGAAUGAAGAAGGCCUUCGGGUUGUAAAAUUCUGUUAUAAGGGAAGAAAGGUGAUAGGCGGAAAUGACUAUCAAUUUACGGUACCUUAUGAGAAAGCCACGGCUCACUACGUGCCAGCAGCCGCGGUAAUACGUAGGUGGCGAGCGUUAUCCGGAAUUAUUGGGCGUAAAGGGCGCGCAGGUGGUUUAUUAAGUCUGAUGUGAAAGCCCACGGCGUAACCGUGGAGGGUCAUUGGAAACUGGUUGACUUGAGGGCAGAAGAGGGAAGUGGAAUUCCAUGUGUAGCGGUGAAAUGCGUAGAGAUAUGGAGGAACACCAGUGGCGAAGGCGGCUUCCUGGUCUGCAACUGACACUGAGGCGCGAAAGCGUGGGGAGCAAACAGGAUUAGAUACCCGGGUAGUC
rnacentral:rRNA from 1 species